GUAAUAGUGGUAAUAAUAGUAGUAGUAAUAGGAGUAGAGGAGGAGGAGGAGGAAUAGUGGUAAUAAUAGUAGUAGUAAUAGGAGGAGGAGGAGGAGGAAUAGUGGUAAUAGUAGUAGUAAUAGGAGGAGGAGGAGGAAUAGUGGUAAUAAUAGUAGUAGUAAUAGGAGGAGGAGGAGGAGUAAUAGUAGUAGUAAUAGGAGGAGAGGAGGAAGGAGGAAUAGUAGUAGUAGGAGGAGGAGGAGGAGGAAUAUUUGUAGAAUCUGCAUGUGUUUUGAAUCCUGAUAUGAAUACUGACAUGCAC
ensembl:lncRNA